rnacentral:siRNA from 1 species
AGUUUUGUUGAUGCCAAACUGCA